CCCUUAGAUGUUCUGGGCUGCACGCGCGCUACACUGAAGCUGUCAACACGUUUUCCCUCCCUGAGAAGGGCGGGUAACCUUUUGAAUCAGCUUCGUGGUAGGGAUCGGGGCUUGCAAUUGUUCCCCGUGAACCAGGAAUUCCUAGUAGACGCGAGUCAUAAGCUCGCAUCGAUUAAGUCCCUGCCCUUUGUACACACCGCCCGUCGCUACUACCGAUUGAACGUUUUAGUGAGGCAUUUGGACCGACGCAUCUCAGUUUAACCGCUGGUUUGUGUUGGAAAGACUUCCAAACUUGAGCGUUUAGAGGAAGUAAAAGUCGUAACA
rnacentral:rRNA from 1 species